rnacentral:rRNA from 1 species
CGGCGGACGGGUGAGUAACACGUGGAUAACCUACCUAUAAGACUGGGAUAACUUCGGGAAACCGGAGCUAAUACCGGAUAAUAUAUUGAACCGCAUGGUUCAAUAGUGAAAGACGGUUUUGCUGUCACUUAUAGAUGGAUCCGCGCCGCAUUAGCUAGUUGGUAAGGUAACGGCUUACCAAGGCGACGAUGCGUAGCCGACCUGAGAGGGUGAUCGGCCACACUGAAACUGAGACACGGUCCAG